rnacentral:misc_RNA from 1 species
CUGAGUUCGGGGGCAAUCCCAGUCCCGACCUCCAACCCCUUGUGAACAUAUCUUGUUGCUUCGGGGGCGACCCUGCCGUUCGCGGCAUUCCCCCCGGAGGUCUUCAAAACACUGCAUUAUUACGUCGGAGUAAAGAGUUAAUUUAAUA